UUAAAUUGGUUGUAGAAUUUAUAUCGUAACUUGCAUAUUUAUUUAGUUGAGUUUAAUCUAAGUUUAUAUUUGAUGUGUUUGUAUCAUUUUAGAAUUUACUGUUUUAGACACGUGGCAUGUGGUAUCCCACUACACUUGGUAUAAGCUGUCAUACUAAUUUGCUGUUUUAGACACGUGGCUUGUGAUAUCCCACUAUAAGUUUGAAUUAAAUUAGCUAUUUUAAACAUGUGACAAGUGGUAUGACACUGAGUUGACAGCAUGGUGUCCGAUUUAAAGUGGGAACCUGUGUACGAGUAACAACAGUAUUCAAAACCAAAACCUAUUUAAACCAACCAAACCAAAACUAGCGACCAAAAACUAAUAUCUUGGCAUUGGUUUAUUUUAAACAUCUAUUAUAUAUAUGUGUGUGUUUUAUAUAAGUGUACUAGCUUGAGUAUAGUGUAUUAAAAAUAUUUUUUUUAACUAUUUUUAUUGUAAUUUAAAGUAUAUUGGAUUAAAUAUUAUAAAUA
rnacentral:lncRNA from 1 species